AGAAGCUUGGAGCUCUUUGAACAUUACAUCACAUUCAUUAAAUGUUGAUUCAGAUGUUAAGUGAGUAAUCUUGUCAUAGACAAACUCCCAUGUACAGCUUGACUUUCCGGAUGUAAUCCUCUGGUGACUACUCAAGAAUCUAUUCAGAUUAAAUCCUGCUUAUAUAUUCAGUACUUGGCUAUCAUCUUUAAUAUAUUUCUCAUCCAUUCCCUGGGAAACAAGUCUACUCCUAUUACCAAUGAAGCAAUUGAGACAUAAAAGAAGAGUUAAGAAACCCAAUCAAUCUCAAAGACAACAAUACAUACUAGAACCUCUUUCUUUAUAGUUAAGAUUACAUCUGUGAUUGCAUUCCUGAGAGUUCCAGCUUUUUUGAUAUACUAUAUACAACUCCGGUCCUGUUGUCAUCCUACAAGCCCUUCAUUAAGGAAAUAAAUGCCUGAGUGACAAUGAUAAAAUUCAUGUUUUACAGCCUUAGGACAGAAGAAAGAAAACAAAUUGCAGGAGUGUUCCACAAGAGGGGACUCCCACAGUGUGAGGUCAAGAGGAAUUAAGGAUCCAGGGCAGUACUGAAUUAGGUUAAAGAAAAGGAGUCUCUGACUCCAAAGCUUAAGUCAGGAGGAACCUGGAGCCCAGAAUUCCAAGCUGUGGCCAGACUAGCAGGGAAUCCCUGAGAAGACAAAGUCAUACAUGGAAGCACAGGAAGGCUUUGGACGUGGGACUUGGCAGAACUGACAAUAUGUAGGAACUGAGCUGAAUUGUGAAACUAUUUCUUCAUCUUCUCUCCAAAGACCAAGGUGGGACAGGGAGGAAUAAGCUCCACAAUAUGAGGGGAACAAUUUGUAUGCUUGUUUUGGGUAUACCUCUUAAAAGCUAGUUGGACUAUUAAGUAGUUAAAUGUAACUCAGGUGCUUGAACCCUUAAAAUUGAGUAAACAUAACUGGUAACAGCUUGAGCCACUGACAGAUGAGAGACUUAAUUCUCUUUUAGACUGCCACAGAACACUGGUGGAGGGGUGAAAUGUAACAGACAUGGCCUCUAGGCAGUGGAGACCCAAAGUUAUUUAUCAUUGUUAUAAAAAUGUUCACACACACACACACACACACACACACACACAUAUGUGUGUGUAGUUUCAUUCUUGGUACUUUCAUUCCCAGUCCUAACACAGUGCUUGGCACAUAGUAAUGUUCUUAAUAAAAGCUGCUGAUUGAUUGA